UUCCAAUACUGAUAACACUUGUUGUAAUAGUGAAAAUAUCUGUUUUACCUCUAAUUAGUAAUUAAAACAUUAGCUUUUUCUAUAUAUAAAACCUUUAAAAUCUUAUUUAUUUAUUCAUUCUUUCAUUACAUAUUUUCCACCACUACCCAGGAAGCCUAGGCCUCUUUGAGAACUCUACCCUUAGGCAAGGUAGUUCCUUUAAGGAGACCUUCAAAGCUUCAUCAUCACCUUGGAGGCUCUUCAUUGGGAGCUUGUGUGGGAGGAGGCCAUCAGGUGAAAGUUGUUAGCAUACAGCUUUAAGUAGCCCUACCAGGACGCCAACUCAAGCGAGCUCAGCCGUUAAUCCCGCUGAAAUUUACUGCUGCGUGGACAGAGGUGAGACAGCGGCACCUUUAGCGUCCUAAGAAGUUUUUAAGACAGAAAUAUUCUUUUUUACACAUUAUAUGCUAGGAUGAGCUAAUUGCCGAAUACAUCAACUUCCAUCUGCGACUGACCCCACAGCUCUGUGACAGCUUUCGGUUUCCAAAGGCCUUGCCAAAAACCAUGUCUCUCCUGUCCUUAGGAGGUGCACAUGCCCAACGUCAGGAAAGCAGCAUUAUGUAAAGGAAGAAAGCAAGGCAAGGGAUCCCAUUUGGCAGGUCUCCUGACACCUACAGGACACCGAAGCCAGGCCCUUCAACAGACGGCGGCGAGGCAGGCAAAGAAACUCUGAUUCCCUACUGGCUCAAUGAUAAAGAAUCCACCUUCAAUGCAGGAGACACAGGCUCGACUCCUGCAUUGGGAAGAUUCCUUGGAGGAGGGAGUGACAACCUACUCCAGUAUUGUUGUUGGGAAAAUCCCAUGGACAGAGGAGCCUGGUGGGCUAUAGUCCAUAAGGUUGCAGAGAGUCGGACACAAAUGAAGUGACUGAACAUACACACACACAGAGAUAUUCUAUUUACGAAAUAAUUUUUGACUGGUUUUUAAGUUGUUAAAAAUGGGGGAGGGAUAUCCAAUGUUCAGCUCUUUCUAUCCCUUUUGAAGAGCCUAUAAACUGAAUAAUAUUGGUUUAUGGAUGACAGAUCAUGUAUUGGAAGAAACAAAUUUAGAUAAUAAGAAUUCCUAUAAUCAUUAUUCAAACAUUAGUAUAUUUUCAUAUUCUCUUUUGAGGGGCUUUUCUCAAUGAAAACAACAGUAAAUUAUCUUGGAAGUAUUAACAUAGCACCUGAAAUAUAUCUCUGUAAAAGAAUGACCUUCAGGUAGAAAUCUUGUUGAGGGAAUUUUUCUGCAUCAUUCAAACUCAAGCCUUUGUUAGUUAAAACAAAAUGAGAGAAAAAUAAAUCUUGAUGUGGAACAUAGAUUACAAAGUUGCUGGAGGGAUUUAAUUUGGGAGUAAUUGUUUUACCUAGUCCAAGAACAGGUAUUUUAAAUUCACAGGGAGCAAAGGAAUUGUAUAUGGCCAGGAGCGACAUAUGGAGAAGGCAAUGACACCCCACUCCAGUACUCUUGCCUGUAAAAUCCCAUGGAUGGAGGAGCCUGGUAGGCUGCAAUCCAUGGGGUCGCUGAGGGUCGGACACGACUGAGCGACUUCACUUUCACUUUCAUGCAUUGGAGAAGGCAAUGGCAACCCACUCCAGUGUUCUUGCCUGGAGAAUCCCAGGGAUGGGGGAGCCUGGUGGGCUGCGGCCUAUGGGGUUGCACAGAGUCGGACACAACUGGAGCAACUUAGCAGCAGCAGGAGUGACAUAAGGGUACAGUUACGCAUCAGUUAGAAUCUGUACACACUAAGACACUUUUUCAAGAAUCCUGAAGCUAUUAACAGACAAGCCAGAAACCCAGGAUCAAGAUCCCAUCACUUUCUAAACUUUAGGGUUCUAAUAUCAGGUCCAAGAGUUAUUGCUAAAAACAAGGUCAAUAAAAUCAUCACUUCAAAAUAAAUAAGCUUAUCUUAUUUAUCAUCUUUGGCUUUUAUAUUACAUAACUGUAUAAUCUCGGUCUAUUAGAGGCUUCCUUGGUCAUUCAGAUGGUAAAGAAUCUUAUUAACCUAAUAUGUUUAAUGAAAUAUUCAAUCUGGAAAGACCUCAUUGUAAGUAAGGCUUCUACUAUGACUGUAACUUUCUAAUAUUCUAAACUUCAUGCAUGAACCCUACUAAACUAAUGUUAUAUCCUAAUGCAUUAUGCUCUAUGUUUGUUCCUUUGUUCAAGUCUAGAAUGCCUUCUCCCUGCCCCAUCCUUUUUGUUGACCAAAAGAGCCCCUGAUCUUCUUUAAAACCAUGAGUCCUUUUACCUCCUUCAGAAAGCCUUGCCUGCAUUUUAAUUCAUUCGUGGUUAUAUUUAUAAAAUGUUUGCUAGAUGCAUUGAGAGUGCUUAUACACUUAAUAUUUUUCUCUCAAAGUC
ensembl:lncRNA